GCUAAACGCGAAGAACCUUACCUACACUUGACAUGUCCGGACGAUUUCCAGAGAUGGACUUUCCCGCAAGGGGGCCUCGCACAGGUGCUGCAUGGCUGUCGUCAGCUCGUGUCGUGAGAUGUUGGGUUAAGUCCCGCAACGAGCGCAACCCUCGCCUUUAGUUGCCAGCAUGUUUGGGUGGGCACUCUAAAGGAACUGCCGGUGACAAGCCGGAGGAAGGUGGGGAUGACGUCAAGUCCUCAUGGCCCUUAUGGGCUGGGCUACACACGUGCUACAAUGGCGAUGACAAUGGGAAGCCAGGUCGCGAGGCCGAGCCGAUCCCAAAAAGUCGUCUCAGUUCGGAUUGCAGCCUGCAACUCGGCUGCAUGAAGGUGGAAUCGCUAGUAAUCGCGCAUCAGCAUGGCGCGGUGAAUACGUUCCCGGGUCUUGUACACACCG
rnacentral:rRNA from 1 species